GGCGAACGCUGGCGGCAGGCUUAACACAUGCAAGUCGAGCGGGCAUCUUCGGGUGUCAGCGGCGGACGGGUGAGUAACGCGUGGAAACGUGCCUUCUGGUUCGGAAUAACUCAGGGAAACUUGAGCUAAUACCGGAUACGCCCUUUUGGGGAAAGGUUUACUGCCGGAAGAUCGGCCCGCGUCUGAUUAGCUAGUUGGUGGGGUAACGGCCUACCAAGGCGACGAUCAGUAGCUGGUCUGAGAGGAUGAUCAGCCACACCGGGACUGAGACACGGCCCAGACUCCUACGGGAGGCAGCAGUGGGGAAUAUUGGACAAUGGGGGCAACCCUGAUCCAGCCAUGCCGCGUGAGUGAUGAAGGCCUUAGGGUUGUAAAGCUCUUUUAUCCGGGACGAUAAUGACGGUACCGGAGGAAUAAGCCCCGGCUAACUUCGUGCCAGCCGCCGCCGUAA
rnacentral:rRNA from 1 species